UCCCAUGAAGAGGUGGGAAUGAAUUAAUAAGAGGAGAAGGCCUCAGGGAGCUUGAAUUUAAUAGCCUAAGCACUCUCAACAAUAACUCCUUGAGGGCCUAAAACCCUGCCUAUGGGCUAAAAAGUUUGGUUGGGGUGAAUUCGGAGUAUAAAUCAAUCUCUGGAUGAUUAUAAUCCAGACCCCAACCUGUCUAAAUUUUAACUCAUUAACUGACCCAAACUAUUUGAUUAAUGGAACAAGUUUCUGUAGAUACAUAACAGUGCAAAUCCAGUCAAGAGGUCAUAUCCACAGUUAAGGUUUACUACCUUGAUGUUGGAUCAGGAUGUCCAAAUGGUAUAACCAAUAUUAAUGGUUCCUUUGUUCAACAAUUAAAGUCCUAUGUGAUCUGAGCUCAGACCAGAGAAAUCCAUGUUGGUUUCUGUCUUUUAAAUA
rnacentral:ncRNA from 1 species